UACGUAGGGUGCAAGCGUUAAUCGGAAUUACUGGGCGUAAAGCGUGCGCAGGCGGUUGUGCAAGACCGAUGUGAAAUCCCCGGGCUUAACCUGGGAAUGGCAUUGGUGACUGCACGGCUAGAGUGUGUCAGAGGGGGGUAGAAUUCCACGUGUAGCAGUGAAAUGCGUAGAGAUGUGGAGGAAUACCGAUGGCGAAGGCAGCCCCCUGGGAUAACACUGACGCUCAUGUACGAAAGCGUGGGGAGCAAACAGG
rnacentral:rRNA from 1 species